CAGAUGGAUGCCAUAGCACUAGACCAACUCUGCGUUGAUGUAGUUGCAAAUCUACUACCGAUUCAGUCAUUGUCCUAGAAAUACCCCCAUCAGGUCCUUUGUGUCCACCUACUAAAGGAUAGUCUGCCGGUAUUCUUCCUACCUACAAGUAUUUCACGCAACUAUCAAUUAUCGCGUAUUUUUCCAAGGAACUCAAAAGUAACAUCAAAUACUACAUAAAAUAUCAAUUUCAAAAAAAUAUGAAAUAUAAAAUGUAUUAGUGAGAGAAAAGAAAUAUUUCUAUCACAUGCAUGUUCCGGAUCAACAGAGCGGAAAUAUAUUGCAGCGAGAAGGAGAAACAAAACGGAAACCGCAAAGAGUGAGAGAUAGGAGCAAAAG